UGUAAAUUUACUAAAACUCGCUGCACUGUACACUUAAAACGAAGGACCUUUAACGUAUGUAAAUUAAACAACAAUAGAGCCGCUUUUAAAAAAGAUCUGGGGGGGGCGCCUGGGUGGCGCAGUCGGUUGAGCGUCCGACUUCAGCCAGG